CAUUGUCAGCAUAUGUAUUUCCCUGACAUCUUUCUAUAUUUUAAAAUGUAUAGUGCCCAGAGAUGACUUCAAAUAAUUAUUUUGAUAUAAUAAAUAUUGACGUUAUAUAGGCUACCCAUGUUUUAUAUCGCACCACAGUAAACGGCCGUUUCUCUAGAUAUAUGUUCAUAUUAUUAUGGGCUAUUAAUUUUUUAAAUAUGUGAAUGCCGGCUGUAAUCUAGAUUUUUCGACUCUAUUUAGCAGUCUGAAGUGAAAAGGAGUGUUUCCUAAACAGUUAUGUAUUCUGAUGUACCGUUGGAAUGGCAGUGGAAAGUCUUAUGUACUGGUCUGUGUAUGAAAUGCCUCACCUGUUUUAUAGUUUAGAAAACUCACUUUAUCCUACAAAUGUGUUAUUUUACAAUAACUUUAAAAAAGAAGAAAAAAAAAACAUUGUAUUUAUUUCCAAAGCUUCAUGUUACAUUUUUCAGAGCAUAACAUGUCACCAAUUAAAACACAUAUCUCUUUCAUGGAAUGAGUGGAAUUAUCAGGAUUACAUAGCUAAAGGUUAUAAACUUUAAUUAUCGACACCCUUCUCUUUCGGCGACAAUUCUGUCAAACAAAACAAAACAAUUAGACUUUACCAAGAUUCUUUUUCUUUUUCUUUUUUUUGUGACUUUGAAUUGGACUUUUUUCUUUUUCUUUUUUUUUUUUUAUAGGCCAGUAAGGGUACCGGAAAUGUUUGUACAUGCUGGAUUUAAAAAAUGCAAUCUUGAAUCAAUGCAACAUUCUGCUUUAUCAACAAUUCAUAUUAUAAAAGGCGAUUUUAUUUUUGACGGUUUUCAUAUAUUGAGUGAGGGCUGACUUUUCAUUCAUACACUCUAAAAAAGGAUGCGUUAAAUUUAGAAAAGAACACAGGGUCUAUGAAGACAUCAACUGGCAAAAUUAUCUAUUGGCAUAUUGGUACUGCAUUUAGUAUUUGUGUGAUUUUCAUUUGUAAUUACAAUAAAGUCAGUAGCCUAAAGUAAAACGUGUGUUAUAUCCAAUAUCCUAAGUAUUGCAUCGCGUCUCAACUAGCCUGUACGCUAGAUAGGCCUACUCUGUAACUAGCAUCUGAUGUCACUGAAAUAAAUAAAUACAUACAUACAUAAACACACACACACACACACACACACACACACACACACACACACACACACACACACAAAAACCUUUGUAAAAUAAAUAUUUGUUGUGCAUUUAACAUAUUCAAAGUCUGUUUGACACCUUCCCUAGAAGCACUAUCACGCCUCCCUAUAGGAAUGUUAUUUAUACCGUGCAGCUGGAGGCUGUCAUCAAUUCAAAACAUGUGUUUAUCAGCCUUACAUGAAAGUGCCGUGUUUUUAAAAAAUAAGAGUUUAUGCAAAACAGCCCUUCUGUUUUUAAAUUAUACAAAACGACAAAGGACAUGAAUGCCACGUGUAAAGUAAAAAUAGACACAACUUUUGUAUAUUACGUAAUAACCACUCACUGAAAAAAUGAUUACGGGCGUUCUAUGGGUUCUUUGGGGUUUCUUCCUAUAGUAUAACUUAAUGCAGGUUCCAGAGCGUUCUACAUAGAACCCAGCAGUUCUAUUUUAAACCCUUUAACGUUGAACUCAUAUGAACCAAUAUUAACAGUUCUAGAAACACACCACCCUCCCCAAAAGGAAAGAAAAAAAAACGAAGAAAAACAUCGUUUCAAAGCUCAGGAAUACCCAUUUUAUCAAGUGUGGUCUAUAAUGUCCUGUUGAUAACAUUGAACACAUUUAAAUUACAGUGUCUGUGGCAAAAGAAGCCUUACCUUUUAUUGUUAAGAGUCUCGACCUUUGAAUAGGACCCUAUAGAGUAAAACCAUCUUAAUCGACUGCGGCAUUUGUUAUUUAUAUUAAUAUUAUUAAUAUUAUUUAUUUUACAAAAGUCAUCUUGUAUAUUACAAUUAAUUUGCACUAUAAAUCAAAUGGAUUGGGUACCAGUAGAUUCUGAGUUUAACAAAAAUAAAAAAAUAAAUAAAAAUGUAAUGUGAUUUGUAGUCUCUCUCCUGCACAUGUGGUACUAUAGGGCGACACCAGCAAUGUGCUGUUCAAUAUUUAUGACUCUACCACCUCUCAAUUUGCAAAAACUAACAACAAAGUCUGAAUUUACCAUUGGAGUGUGUGUGUGUGUGCGCGCGCGCGCGUGCGUGUGAGUGCGUGAUUAUGUGUACGUGUGUUUACGAACAAAUAGACAAAUAAACUAAGUACAUAUUGUGGAUUAAUUUUAUUAAAACAGAGGGCGUUUUUAUUUAUUUUAGAAAUAUUUUUUGUUCUGUGAAAAAUGCACUUUUAUUUACGUUGUCAGAUACAAGUAUCGUACUGGAACAAUUUUUGCCUUUCUACAGCACACAAUAAAUUAUGCAUAGCAAUUCAAUUUUGCAUCAGCUAAUGAAGCAACAUUUUAGCUAUUACUGCCUGCAUUUUUUCUCGUGUUAUUCUUUCUAACUUCCAUAUGAUGUGUAGCCUGCUUAAAAUUACAUGCGUUAACUGAACACACAGGGGCAUAGUGUGAAGGUUAAGGGCAGAACAGUAAAAUACAAAUAUUGUUUUUAAAAUCUUUAUUCUUAUCUCUUUCAAAAUGUAUGGCCGUUGUAUAGGCUAAACAUUUUCAAAGCUUUGUUGAGGUGGUAGUUUCUCAUCGCCUUUGGAAUUCUUACUAUUCAUACUGAUGUAGACUCAUUCUGUUCACAUUUUUUUUAAAAAUCUAGAACCGAUUUUCCUAAAACAGUAAAAAGUGAGCUACUGGUGCACAUACAACUUGAACAUAGUGUAAUAAAUUAACCGAUUAUAUUAUGAUCAUAUACAGGCGUAAAACUGUAUGUUUUAGGUGAGAAUAAAGGUCAGGGCAGCCUAUUUACACAUCAUGUGUUAUGCAGGUGUGUGGUGUGUACUGAAAACAAUGUAUUAGGAUGCAGGCAUUUUUGGUAUCAUGCUGUACAUACUGUUCUACCUUAAGGCCUCCAUUCAACGAAACGACUAGAGACAUAUUACAAAAAAAAAAUCAUAUGUAUUUGAAGACAGGUCGAGCAAUGCUGAUUAAACUCAAUUUCUUGUGCAUGCAUAGUAGUUCAUAUAGCUCUCUUCUACCAUUUGACUAUUUACCCACAAUCUGUGUUUUCCAGGCAGUUUUACUGUAGAACCCUUACGUGUUCUGCUCCUGUUCUGAGAUAGAUUACACCCAAAAGUAUAGCUGCUAUUUUUCUCACUAUUUCGGCUGACCUUUGGCUGACUUUGAGACUGCUGGUAGGGGUGUGCGUAUAAAACACAACACGAGUCAGUUAGGUUUGCCUUGCUGAAUUUCUGCAGCAACACGAGUGUUGAUUACUUUAAAUGUAGCAUAACCCUUAGAAAAUAAAGUCGACAAUUCAGUCUGCAACAUCAUAUAUAAACUGUACCUAACGCGAGGAGUACCAAGCAACUACCGUGUAAACUGUGAUGAGAGAAACGCAUAGACAAUAAUAACACAAGAACACUGAUAAAAAAUAAUAAAAAAAUAAAAACUUAUUUUUAGAAGCUAUGGAAACUAGUUGUAAUUUCUUACUAAAUAAUAAUUAUAUUUGUCCAAUUGAUGAUUAAUAAUUAUUAUAUUUGUCUAAUUGAUUAUUAAUAAUAAUUAUAUUGUUCUAAGACAUUUAGGUCUAUUAUUUCUAGCCAGAUUUAUAGCUGCAUGUUAACUAUGCAAUUUAUAGUCAACACUAUUAAAUUUCAAUUUUAGCUUGUUAUUGUUCAUUAACAAUAAUUCACUUUAUUAGUUUUCUUUUAUACUAAAAUAAACAACAUAUACUACGACUACUACUACUACUACUACUACUACUAAUAAUAAUAAUAAUAAUAAUAAUAAUAAUAAUAUUAACAAAACAAUUUGUUUAAUAUUUAGUAUAGGGGGUGUGGCUCUGCUACCCCCCCCCCCCCCUUCUCAAAUACAUACAGACUUACACCUCCCUCCCCUGCCACUACAGUCACCAUAACCACCACAUAGACAGACACACACGAGCGCACAGUGAAGCCAGAAGAAUUGACCGAUCUUUCCAGCACCUUAAGUUAACUUUUAGAGGUGUCUUGUCACAUAACCGUGUUGUGGAUUUAAACUGAUUAUAUAAAGCAUAGGUAGGUGACAAAUGGAGAAUCUGAAAUAUAAUGUUUCUUUAUUGUUUUCUUUCUUUCUUUCACAAUAUUUAAAAAAAAACAAUCAUGGUAAAUUCAUGAUUUUGUUGUUUUGACGUUUACUUUACAGAAAUACUUGUUUUCUACCUGUUAAAUGUUGACUAAUUAUCCUAUUGCUAAAUCACAGUUCCUUCUGGGAUAUGCCAAUUGAGAUGCAACAUUUUCCCAUUAUUAGCUUGUCAAAAUGAAUCGUAUUACUGUGGACAGUACAGCAGUUUAUUUACAAUAAAGAAACAGCUUGUGGACAUCUGUUAUUUUAAUUGCUGCUCAUCAGAAUAAUUCAUGAUAAUACCGAAAGCAAAGUGAUAAAGUGUUUCGUUUAAAACAUUAAACAGUUCUUUUUAAUCAUAUACACAAAAAGCGACCCCAACGCUUCAUUUAUAUAUGUAGAUUAAUUAUGGUUUUAUGACUUAAUUGACGCCCAAGACUGGAUUAUACAUACCACUACUGCACCAGUGAAGGUAGGCUUGUUUUAGUGUCAUGCUACAAACUUUUCAAACUCUAGCUUUCAAUAAAUAAUUGAAUUUAACAAUUAAUUAGCCAAUUACUUAAUAAUCAAAUAAAUCCAUCAAUUAAAACAUCGAAAACAGAAAUAGAAAAGGUUGAAUCUUAAAUUAAUACAUGCCCUGUUUAUCCUUAAUAAACAUAACUUUUGUUGAUUGCUAAAAAAAAAAAAAAAAAAAAAGCUGCCAAUUUGAUACAAAAUUAAUUGAUUUAGGAGGAAAGAAAAACACCAGAAGUCUAGGCCUAUACUGUGAGCACACACACAGAAUGUAAUGACGAGUGACUAAGAUACUAUGCAGAUUAAAGUCGUUUUCUGCAAGUCCAUCUGUCUUGGUUCUCAGGAGUGUGUGUACAGAGAAACUAAAAAACUUAAUUUUUGACGACCCAUUGGUCAGAGUUUAGUGAACAAGUUUUGUCUUUUGCUACAGUAUUUUUAAAAAGCAAAGGAGAAUCACCGGUAAUGGCAUGAGGGCUUGAUAUCGGGGAACCUGCUGGAGGGGGCAGUCUCCGCACUGCAGUAAUUGGAGUCGAAUGCCAUGCGCGUCUGCUUUUCACUUAUGAAGACACGUGAUUGAUUAAUUAUUUUAAAUGCUGAAAUUUAAGAUCAAAGUAUGCAGUCAUUUCGGAUUGUGGAUGUUCUUUACGUUUUAUUUUUUAUUGAUAACAAGGCGAUCUAAUCUAUGUAUUACAGGGAGAGAAAAAUUAUAGAAACGCAAGGUUGGUAUAAAGAAAAAAGAGAAAAAGCAGUAUUUCAAAAACUACACAGCGCAACUUUAUAGUUCAGGUUACUUUUCAUUGUUAUAUUGUGUGCAAGGCAAGACGUGUUAAUUUGAAUCCUAAUGUAAUUCCAAAAUGUAAUAAUAUGGAUAGGCAAUAUUACAAUAUCAUAACAGUGAGACAGUAGCAUAACAAUUGUUAAAUAUUCUGUGUAAGAAAAGUCAAAUAAAUAAAUCAAUAAAAUUAAACAGCGUCGGUGAACAUAAGACUAAGCACUGGAAAACAUAAUUGAUUUGAAGAUCAAAAGUAUGGAAAACAGCAACAUGGUACACAAACCUGACCCCAAAUCAAACCAUGUCACCAUGAACUAUGAUUUCUGAUUUCCCUCCAACGCCUUAAAAGGUAAUUUCCCUCCUGGUGAAGACAAUAUGUUUAGGUAACAGACCAAUAAUAAAUAUAAUGUAAUACCCACUAAUAAUACAAUAAAUGUUUGCUAAAUUAAUACAAUCAAAGAAACCAAUUGCAAUCCUUAUGAUAAGUGAAGAAAGAUUAUUUAUUAAAAAUAAUUGCCUCAGAAACUAGUGAUUGAUGAAUUUGGUGGCUGGUCUUGCAAAAUUAUCAGGUUAAACUGCUUUCACCCUGGUUGUUGUGUUUAAUAGUGAGAUUUACAUGAGGGCUUUUUCAGGCAGCAGUGCCCUAUGACUGGCACAUGGUUUUCGCCACACUUAAGUGUUGGCAGGAACAAUUACCUUUUUUAUUAUUUGUUAAAAGGAAAUGCUGGGUGUGAAUUAAUGUAGUUAUUUUUAUUUAUUUAUUUUUCCUUCUGCCUCUAGAAGUAUUACCAAGCCAGCACAGCUGUGAAGAUAAUGAAAUACUAUAAUUUCAUCAAUCUUACCUGCAGUGCACUGCAAUUCUCUAUGUAGAUACUGAAUCAAAUCAGGGUACUAGGGGAACAUUAAGCCACUUGAAGGGAAUCAUUGUUGGGGGUGGGGGCACUAUGCUGAUUACGGAGCAGGGAAGUUUGACUAAAGCAUCUCUAAGACUACAGAAUGAAUUUGGAGAUCAAACUUGUAUUGUAACACUUGAAAUGUAUUUGCUUACGAUUGUAAGUCGCCCUGGAUAAAGGCGUCUGCUAAGAAAUAAAUAAUAAACCCCAAACCGUUGCUUUGAUAUACAUUACACACCAUGUUUGUAAAAGCAGAAUUCAGCCAAAGUGUUGCAAAAUGACGACAUGAACACAAACAUGAAAUAAACGCAUUCAUACAAUAAACACAAACAUAGGACAUAGUCCAGUGCCACUGUUUAUAUGUAAGGUAGACAUUAACCUGUGACGUGUCAAAAUGUUGGUCGAUAAUCUAAUUUCAGGGAAAAAAAACACAGCCUUGCUCUGCGCCACUGAACUGCAGGCUCAGCUGCACGGAUCUGUCAGCUAUCUGCUUCAACUGCUGUAAAACACCAUCAGCUUGCUGAUCACUUCAUGCCUGCGUAGAUCUGUUCUACAAGAAUCUUUUAAUUCAAAUAUAUGUGCAUGUGAGAAUAAUUACCAGCAAAAAGAAAAACAUGCAAUACAUCCAGGUGGCUGCUGUUUUUUAUUACUUUGUCUCCAGUAAUGAAUUACUAAUUGUUUUUAACACCUGUAUAGCUGUCUGUCCAGAUCAUUGUUGCUGAGAGAAAUAGAUGUGCAAUCUUACAUAGCCAGAGAGUCUCAAAAUGACACAAAGUGCACAGUAAUAAAGAUAAGUAGAAAAAAAUGUGAUUGCUAUAAGAAUAUUAUCAAGAAGUUAAAGGUAAGUAUUUUUAUUUCAGUUUAAAAGAGGUGCCUUGGUUAAAAAAAAAAACAACCCUGGAAACACAGAGCAUAACUUGGGUUUAUUUAAUGUAAAACCCCACUUUCUUUGAAUGUCUAUGUGAUAGAGCAUAGGCUCUGCACAUGGGGGCACACUGAAGUGUGUGCUUUGUGACUACGUUUGCACAGCCACAUGGGAUUGAUGGGAUUUGUUGUUUAAUUGAUUGUUUAAUUGUUUAAUAGAAAAGUGUGGAAUGUGGCCAGGUGGUAAUUGAAUGAUUGAAGUCACUCACCCCAGGUCAAACCAUAGAAAAGGAAAGGAAAUGUUUGUUGGGAGAGAGCACAUGGAGAGAAGGGCUGAGGGCAAUAGGUUGUGCUUUCAACCCUGCACUGGGGGUAGCUGGAGCUUGGGUGCCGUUUUGUUCAUUUGUGUUAGAGUUUGUGUUGUGUAAGAGUUUUUUUAAAACCUUUUAUUUUUUUAAUUAUUAAAAGUGCGCAAAAUUGUUUAAACUGCAGUUUCUGUGUCUGGGUUUGCUAUUCCUGCCAUUGACCAGCCUUGACCGCCUGACACUAUGCCUCAGUCCACUAAUGGGUGACAUUCCAAAAAGUACAGCUUUAAGUCUAAUUUCGUAGAGUUUCCAGGUAAGCAAAUUCAAUACAAGUAAGUACUGUUUCUCUCAUGCUUGUACAGUCACAGAUGCACAUACUGUACAAAUAUUUAUCAGCAUGGUUUCUGCUUACACGUUACAAAGUUAAUUUAUUUUGUUUUUUAUUUUUAUUUUUUAACUUUGUUUGAACCAACCAAGCUUUCUGAUUUGAUGUAUGCGAUCACAUGACGAUAUGGUAAAACUUGUCUUAAUCUGCUACUCUUGUUGUUGUAUUUUAAGCUUCAUAAGUAAUGUAUUUUUUUGUAAUCUUUGGCAGUUUCUUUGGUUGUCAUUAUUUUGUACAUCCAAAUUGCUGUUGCUGUAGGAAAGGGAUACCGAUGAUUCAGUUUUCAGUUUCUACCAGCAACCAACUGACUACCACUAGAGAGAGCAACUGAGCAGAGGAUUCAUACCUAAAAAAGCAACUCAAUGUGUACAAGUCAUUUCCCUUUUCAACAAGACUACAUGUAAUUUAAGCUGUGUUCCCAAAUGCUCACUUUCACACACACCUGCCAGUCGGCUUGGACGCUGAUUUCAGAAGCAUUGUGGUAAUGCAACUGUUAUGCUGGUGUGAAAAAGCCAACAUAAUUUCAAACGUGUGUGUAUAAACAUGUAACUUAUACCUUGUUGCAUGUUUUAAUAUUCCCUUGUCAAUUAAUUGUGAACUAUUUUGUACUGUGUAAAAUAACAUCAAGACUAUACAAAUAAAGCUUACAAAAAGAUGAAAAA